rnacentral:rRNA from 1 species
UACGUAGGCAGCGAGCGUUGUUCGGAGUUACUGGGCGUAAAGCGUGCGUAGGCGGUGUCUUAAGUUUGUUGUGAAAUCUCCCGGCUUAACCGGGAGGGUGCGGCGAAUACUGAGAUGCUGGAGUGCGGGAGAGGUAAGCGGAAUUCCCGGUGUAGCGGUGAAAUGCGUAGAGAUCGGCAGGAACACCCAGGGGGAAACCAGUCGACUGGGCAGCACCUGACGCUGAGGUGCGAGAGCGUGGGGAGCGAACCGG